rnacentral:ribozyme from 12 species
AAAGUAAUGCAAAAUAGAGAAAAGAAAAAACAAGAAACUCAGCAAAAAGAGAUAAUAGUGUACCAAACUCGAUCUCUUUUUCAUCUUCCUCUUCUC